UAAGGAACUCCUUGGAAACUGGAGGAAAGGUGACUCUUGGUAUGCUUUAGCAAAAAGGCUGGAGACAUUUUGCCCCUGCCCUAGAGAUCUGUGGAACUUUGACUUGAGAGAGAUGAUUUAGGGUAUCUGGCAGAAGAAAUUUCUAAGCAGCAAAGUGUUCAAGAGGAAACGGAGCAUAAAAGUUUGAAAAAUUUGUGGCCUGAUGAUGUGAUAGA